rnacentral:rRNA from 1 species
GACGAACGCUGGCGGCGUGCUUAACACAUGCAAGUCGAACGGUAAGGCCCUUCGGGGUACACGAGUGGCGAACGGGUGAGUAACACGUGGGUGAUCUGCCCUGCACUUCGGGAUAAGCCUGGGAAACUGGGUCUAAUACCGGAUAGGACCACUGCCUGCAUGGGUGGUGGUGGAAAGCUUUUGCGGUGUGGGAUGGGCCCGCGGCCUAUCAGCUUGUUGGUGGGGUGAUGGCCUACCAAGGCGACGCCGGGUAGCCGGCCUGAGAGGGUGACCGGCCACCAUGGGAAUGGGAUACGGCCCAGACUCGUACGGGAGGCAGGAGUGGGGAAUAUUGCACAAUGGGAGCAAGCCUGAUGCAGCGACGCCGCGUGAGGGAUGACGGCCUUCGGGUUGUAAAGUACUUUCAGCGGGGAGGAAGGUGUUGUGGUUAAUAACCGCAGCAAUUGACGUUACCCGCAGAAGAAGCACCGGCUAACUCC